UACGGGGGGGGCAAGCGUUGUUCGGAAUUACUGGGCGUAAAGGGCUCGUAGGCGGCCAACUAAGUCAGACGUGAAAUCCCCAGGCUCAACCUGGGAACUGCGUCUGAUACUGGUUGGCUUGAAUCCGGGAGAGGGAUGUGGAAUUCCAGGUGUAGCGGUGAAAUGCGUAGAUAUCUGGAGGAACACCGGUGGCGAAGGCGGCAUCCUGGACCGGUAUUGACGCUGAGGCGCGAAAGCCAGGGGAGCAAACGGG
rnacentral:rRNA from 1 species